GCCUACGGGGGGCAGCAGUAGGGAAUAUUGCUCAAUGGGGGAAACCCUGAAGCAGCAACGCCGCGUGGAGGAUGAAGGUUUUCGGAUUGUAAACUCCUUUUGUUAGAGAAGAUAAUGAUGGUAUCUAACGAAUAAGCACCGGCUAACUCCGUGCCAGCAGCCGCGGUAAUACGGAGGGUGCAAGCGUUACUCGGAAUCACUGGGCGUAAAGAGCGCGUAGGCGGGAUAGCAAGUCAGAUGUGAAAUCCUAUGGCUUAACCAUAGAACUGCAUUUGAAACUGUUAUCCUAGAGUAUGGGAGAGGUA
rnacentral:rRNA from 1 species